rnacentral:rRNA from 1 species
GAGUAGCAAUACGAUGGUGGCGACCGGCGCACGGGUGAGUAACACGUAUGCAACCUACCUGUAAGAGGGGAAUAACCCGGAGAAAUUCGGACUAACACCGCAUAAUACCUCGAAGCUGCAUGGCUUUGAGGUUAAAUAUUUAUAGCUUACAGAUGGGCAUGCGUAACAUUAGAUAGUUGGUGAGGUAACGGCUCACCAAGUCAACGAUGUUUAGGGGUUCUGAGAGGAAGGUCCCCCACACUGGUACUGAGACACGGACCAGACUCCUACGGGAGGCAGCAGUGAGGAAUAUUGGUCAAUGGGCGAGAGCCUGAACCAGCCAAGUCGCGUGAAGGAAGAAGGUUCUAUGGAUUGUAAACUUCUUUUGUAAGGGAAUAAAAAGAGUUACGUGUAACUUAUUGUAUGUACUUUACGAAUAAGGAUCGGCUAACUCCGUGCCAGCAGCCGCGGUAAUACGGAGGAUCCAAGCGUUAUCCGGAUUUAUUGGGUUUAAAGGGUGCGUAGGCGGACCCGUUAGUCAGUGGUGAAAGUUUGCAGCUCAAACUGUAAAAUUGCCAUUGAAACUGCGGGUCUUGAGUGUAAAUGAGGUAGGCGGAAUGUGUUGUGUAGCGGUGAAAUGCUUAGAUAUAACACAGAACACCAAUUGCGAAGGCAGCUUACUGGGAUACAACUGACGCUGAGGCACGAAAGCGUGGGGAUCAAACAGGAUUAGAUACCCUGGUAGUCCACGCAGUAAACCGAUGAAUACUAGCCUGUAUGCGAUAUACUUGUAUGUGGGCAAAAGCCGAAAGGCGUUAAGCUAUUUCCACCCUGGGGGAAGUACGUUUCGGCCAAAGAAUGAAACAUCCAAAGGAAUUGACCGGGGGCCCGCACAAGCGGAGGAAC